AAGUCGUAACAAGGUUUCCGUAGGUGAACCUGCGGAAGGAUCAUUACCACAUCCAAAACUAUCCACCCACAUGUGUGCACUGUUUUUCUUUGCCAGUGGUGUUUGUCUGAGAAGAGAAGCACGGCUGGCAAGGGAACAUGUUUCAAAACAACCACUUGUGAAACACUUUUACACCAAUUAAAACCACAAAAAACGAAACUUGAGAGACAACUUUUAACGAUGGAUCUCUUGGCUCGU
rnacentral:misc_RNA from 1 species